GCAGGGAUGACACCAAGGAAACACCAUGGCAAGGACAGAGCUCACCUUCUCCAGUGGAAUCAACUGUUUGAUGGACGGACUUUGCCCUGAAGAAGUGUGUGGUCUCUCUGAUUAAGUGGUUCUCAACAGUUCAACAGUUCUUUGAGAAAAUUGUGAAAUGUUUAGGACCACUUGACCAGUCAGACAAAUGCAGUCAGCUUGGGAAAAUGCUGCCUUGAAUGGAUUUUAUUAUUUAUUUUUUUUCAAGCAAACAUCUCUCAAGGCAUGACUUUCAAUGAUUUUAAUACAACUGUGAUUUCCUCUGCUUUUCUGUUUCCUUAAUGUCUCUCUCUGUCUUAUGCUCUCAUUGUGCCCCCUUGUGUUACAAUACCAACUGCAGUUCAGGAACUGCGGGGGGGGGACGACACUGUAAAAAUCAUCAGGCUUCAGUAAUUUCAUUCUGCUGGCACACAUGCAAAUUUUUAACAGCUCUGCUGCUGCAGUAACACCCGUCUUUUCGCUGCUUUGCUGUUGCAACUAUUCAGUACUGAUUAAAACAAGUCAAUAAAGA